UACGGAGGAUGCGAGCGUUAUCCGGAUUUAUUGGGUUUAAAGGGAGCGCAGACGGGUCGUUAAGUCAGCUGUGAAAGUUUGGGGCUCAACCUUAAAAUUGCAGUUGAUACUGGCGUCCUUGAGUGCGGUUGAGGUGUGCGGAAUUCGUGGUGUAGCGGUGAAAUGCUUAGAUAUCACGAAGAACUCCGAUUGCGAAGGCAGCACACUAAGCCGUAACUGACGUUCAUGCUCGAAGGUGUGGGUAUCAAACAGG
rnacentral:rRNA from 1 species